rnacentral:rRNA from 1 species
ACAGCAGCAGCCACGGUAAUACGUAGGUGGCAAGCGUUGUCCGGAAUUAUUGGGCGUAAAGGGCUCGCAGGCGGUUUCUUAAGUCUGAUGUGAAAGCCCCCGGCUCAACCGGGGAGGGUCAUUGGAAACUGGGAAACUUGAGUGCAGAAGAGGAGAGUGGAAUUCCACGUGUAGCGGUGAAAUGCGUAGAGAUGUGGAGGGACACCAGUGGCGAAGGCGACUCUCUGGUCUGUAACUGACGCUGAGGAGCGAAAGCGUGGGGAGCGAACAGGAUUAGAUACCCCCGUAGUCCCUGUCUCUUAUAC